rnacentral:rRNA from 1 species
UGAUUUAUUAAAUGGCCGCAGUACCCUGACUGUGCUAAGGUAGCGUAAUCAGUUGGCUUUUAAAUGGAGUCGUGAAUGAAGGGAUCCACGGGAAUUAGCUGUCUCUUUUUAAAUUGGCUGAACUUAUUAAAAAGGUGAAAAACCCUUUAAGUUGAAAAAAGACGAGAAGACCCUUAGAGUUUUUAAACGAUUGGCAGAUUACCAUAAGUUUUUUGCUGGGGCGGCAGAGAGACAGAUUAUUAACUCUCUUUAGACAGAUUUUAGAAGACGUUAUUUUAAAGUAACAUGAAACUACCUUAGGGAUAACAGCAUAAUUAAUUAAUUAGUUUGUGACCUCGAUGUUGGACUAGGAAAAUUCUUGGCUAGCAGCCAAAAAUUUUGUUCUGUUCGAACAACUCCUCCUAC